rnacentral:rRNA from 1 species
GCCCACUGACGUAGUGUUUAAGGGCCGCAGUAAUUUGACUGUGCAAAGGUAGCAUAAUAAAUAGUUUUUUAAUUGAAGACUUGAAUGAACGGUUGGACGAUAAAGAAGCUGUUUCUACAGUUAGAUCUAUAAUUUAACUUUUAUGUGAAAAGUCAUAAAUGUUACAGAGGGACGAUAAGACCCUAUAAAACUUUACAUUAUGGCUAUCAGCUCUUCAAUAGAAUAAACAGAGAUUUUAGUUAAAGUGUUUUGCUGGGGCGGCAAUAAUGUAAUUAGUAACUGUUAAUUAAGUAUUAAUAACAAUGAUUAGUUUUUGAACCUUUAGUAUUAGGAUUACGAGAUCAAGUUACUUUAGGGAUAACAGCGUUAUUUUUCUUGAGAGUUCAUAUCGAAAGAAUGAGUUGCGACCUCGAUGUUGAAUUAAAGUACUCAUUCAGGGGCAGCACCUUGAGCUUGUAGGUCUGUUCGACCUUUAAUACUUUACAUGAUUUGAGUUCAGACCGGCGUGAG